CUCACCGGAUCUUGAAGGUACUAAAGAUGUCCAAGCCAUCUCUGGAGGUGUGAUCGCUUCCUCGGUUGGUCCUUUUCCCCGUCCAGGAGAUCCGAUUAGGGUUCAAUGAGGGGCAUAGAUCCGCGUCGUCUCAAGCCAAUUGAACUUCUCAUUCAUCCUCUUCAAUUCGUUUGCUGGAGAGUGAUCGGUUGCUCUUCAUCAACCGGAUUGGAGUAGGCGAUGGCACCUGGAAAGGACCAAAUCUAGGUUGUUCUUGUUCUGGAUUGGAGGAAGGCAUCGGAUCAAGGUAUUGGUAGAUUUCUCUUCUACCGAUCACUGCUUCUCCACUUCUUGAAGCUGUGGAGGUCACGGGUGAGGAGGCAAGGGACUAUUGAGGACUUGGAUUCGGGACGAGUGUCUCGACGUGGGAUUAUUUGGCACGAUCGACAGAUCAAGG